rnacentral:rRNA from 1 species
UACAGAGGCCCCGAGCAUUAUCCGGAAUCACUGGGCGUAAAGGGUGUGUAGGCGGUCGUAUUAGUCCUUCGUAAAAGCUUUCGGGCCUAACCCGGAAAAUGCGGCGGAAACGGUACGACUUAGAGGAUGCGAGAGGUAUAUGGAACUCAUGGUGUAGGGGUGAAAUCCGUUGAUAUCAUGGGGAACACCAAAAGCGAAGGCAAUAUACUGGCGCACUCCUGACGCUGAAACA